rnacentral:rRNA from 1 species
UGCCAGACUCCUACGGGAGGCAGCAGUAGGGAAUUUUGCGCAAUGGGCGAAAGCCUGACGCAGCAACGCCGCGUGAUCGAGACGCCCUUCGGGGUGUAAAGAUCUGUCAGUGGGGACGAAACUUGACGGUACCCACAGAGGAAGCACCGGCUAACUCCGUGCCAGCAGCCGCGGUAAUACGGGGGGUGCAAGCGUUGUCCGGAAUCAUUGGGCGUAAAGAGUUCGUAGGCGGCACGUAAAGUCUGGUGUUAAAGGCAGAGGCUCAACUUCUGUACGGCACUGGAUACUUGCGAGCUAGAAUGCGGUAGAGGUAAAGGGAAUUCCUGGUGUAGCGGUGAAAUGCUUAGAUAUUGCGCAGAACUCCGAUUGCGAAGGCAGCAUACCGGCGGCGAUCUGACGCUGAGGCACGAAAGCGUGGGUAUCGAACAGGAUUAGAUACCCCCGUACU